GCAGAUACAUUCCAGCCAAUCAGCAGCAGACCCUCCCUCCUUGACCAUCCCACCUCCUGGACAGCAUCCAUUUUGAAGCUGCAUUCUUAGUGAGCUGUCCAGGAGGUGGGAGGGUCUGGGAGGGAGGGUCUGCUGCUGAUUGGCUGGAAUGUGCCU